rnacentral:rRNA from 1 species
GACGAACGCUGGCGGCGUGCCUAAUACAUGCAGGUCGAACGAACCGCGACUGAGUGCUUGCACUUGGUCAAGGUGAGUGGCGAACGGGUGAGUAACACGUGGGUAACCUACCUCAUAGUGGGGGAUAACAGUCGGAAACGACUGCUAAUACCGCAUAGGACAUGGAAUCACAUGAUUCUGUGAGGAAAGGUGGCGCAAGCUAUCGCUAAGAGAUGGACCCGCGGUGCAUUAGCUAGUUGGUAGGGUAAGGGCCUACCAAGGCGAUGAUGCAUAGCCGACCUGAGAGGGUGAUCGGCCACAUUGGGACUGAGACACGGCCCAAACUCCUACGGGAGGCAGCAGUAGGGAAUCUUCCGCAAUGGACGCAAGUCUGACGGAGCAACGCCGCGUGAGUGAAGAAGGUCUUCGGAUCGUAAAGCUCUGUUGUUAGAGAAGAACAGCGCAUAGAGUAACUGUUAUGCGUGUGACGGUAUCUAACCAGAAAGCCACGGCUAACUACGUG